UUGAUCUUACUGAAAAUGAUCGAUCAAUAUAGUUUUUGCUUAAAUAGGUUACACUGAAAACACUAAUGUGAUUCACCGGCUUAUAAGGGAAGGAGACUAGAUUCUGAAGCUUUCUAAUUUCAAGGAUGAUUCAAGCCAUAUUGGUGAGUUAGUUUUCAAUUCAGUGUUGGCAUAGUUGUCUGAACAAAAGAUGUUUUUAUAGAUUAUUUUGUUUCUCUGACACAACCUCGGAUAGUUCAGCUUGGGGAUACUUGUGCAUUGUUUAUUCAGGAAUGCCUUCAAUGCUUCAAGGUUAUAAAUGAUACUGAGGCAGAUCUUGGGAUACCCAUGGCAAGGGCAUGAUUAGUCAGAAGAAGAAGAUAAGUAGUGUGUCGAUGCCACUAAAGGAGAAAACGAGAACUCCAAUCAAGAAGCAGAGGAGGCAACGAACCAGUGAGUUCGGAGGAAGAGGAGAGGUUAAGAGAGGAACUGGAGGAGAUAUAAGCAAAGUAUCAGGAAGAGAUGAAAGAGAUAGCAAGAAAAGAGAAGAAAGAAUAAUGGAGACAAAGAGAACCUCAUCUCAGAAGGAGGUAGAACAAGCUGAUUAAGUAGUUACAAACACAACAAAGACAUCUUUGGUAGUUUUAUUUUUCUUUCUGAGUUCAUUUUUUUCUUGAACAAUAAUCACUUCGUUCUCCCU